GGAAGCGUGUGCUGGUCUGGUGACCGCCCCAGUCUUCAAAAUUGGUGAGGCGUUCGAUCGAACGCUUGGUGGGUUCGAUUCCCAUCCGCUUCCGC
rnacentral:tRNA from 1 species